AGCAGCCGCGGGAAUACAGAGGGUGCGAGCGUUAAUCGGAUUUACUGGGCGUAAAGCGUGCGUAGGCGGCUAAUUGAGUCGGAUGUGAAAUCCCCGAGCUUAACUUGGGAAUUGCAUUCGAUACUGGUUAGCUAGAGUGUGGGAGAGGAUGGUAGAAUUCCAGGUGUAGCGGUGAAAUGCGUAGAGAUCUGGAGGAAUACCGAUGGCGAAGGCAGCCAUCUGGCCUAACACUGACGCUGAGGUACGAAAGCAUGGGGAGCAAACAGGAUUAGAUACCCCUGUAGUCCCUGUCUCUUAUACC
rnacentral:rRNA from 1 species